UACGUAGGGUCCGAGCGUUGUCCGGAAUUACUGGGCGUAAAGAGCUCGUAGGUGGUUUGUCGCGUUGUUCGUGAAAACUCACAGCUUAACUGUGGGCGUGCGGGCGAUACGGGCAGACUAGAGUACUGCAGGGGAGACUGGAAUUCCUGGUGUAGCGGUGGAAUGCGCAGAUAUCAGGAGGAACACCUAUAGCGAAGGCAGCUUGCUGGGACGUUACUGACGCUAAGGCGCGAAAGCGUGGGGAGCGAACAGG
rnacentral:rRNA from 1 species